GAUGAACGCUGGCGGCGUGCCUAAUACAUGCAAGUCGAGCGAACGGACGAGAAGCUUGCUUCUCUGAUGUUAGCGGCGGACGGGUGAGUAACACGUGGAUAACCUACCUAUAAGACUGGGAUAACUUCGGGAAACCGGAGCUAAUACCGGAUGAUAUUUUGAACCGCAUGGUUCAAAAGUGAAAGACGGUCUUGCUGUCACUUAUAUAUGGAUCCGCGCUGCAUUAGCUAGUUGGUAAGGUAACGGCUUACCAAGGCAACGAUGCAUAGCCGACCUGAGAGGGUGAUCGGCCACACUGGAACUGAGACACGGUCCAGACUCCUACGGGAGGCAGCAGUAGGGAAUCUUCCGCAAUGGGCGAAAGCCUGACGGAGCAACGCCGCGUGAGUGAUGAAGGUCUUCGGAUCGUAAAACUCUGUUAUUAGGGAAGAACAUAUGUGUAAGUAACUGUGCACAUCUUGACGGUACCUAAUCAGAAAGCCACGGCUAACUACGUG
rnacentral:rRNA from 1 species